GGCUCUUUGAUAAAAAAGAUAGGGAGUCGGACCUGCCCAGUGAAAAUUUUUAACGGCCGCGGUACUCUGACCGUGCAAAGGUAGCAUAAUCAUUUGCCUUAUAAUUGAAGGCUUGUAUGAAUGGUUUGACAAGAAUGUAGCUGUCUCUAUGUAAUUUUGUAGAAUUUUAUUUUGAAGUGAAGAAGCUUGAAUAAUAUUGAUAGACAAGAAGACCCUAUCGAGCUUAAAAAAAGGUUGUAGAAGUAUAGAAUAGAUUUAAAAGAUUGUCUAUUAUAAAUUUUGGUUGGGGCGACUUAGGAACAGAUUAAGCUUCCUAAAUUUAUUUAGAUAAACAAGAGUGAUCCAAAAUUUUUUGAUUAAUGAAAUUAGUUACCGUAGGGAUAACAGCAUUAUCUUCUUUGAGAGUUCUUAUCGAAAAGAGGGUUUGUGACCUCGAUGUUGGACCAGAAUGUCCUAAAGAUGUAGCAGUCUUUAAGGGUUGGUCUGUUCGACCAUUAAAAUUCUACG
rnacentral:rRNA from 1 species